rfam:Aedes albopictus isolate Foshan contig102616, whole genome shotgun sequence.
UAGCCAAGUGGUUAAGGCAAUGGAUCGCCAAUCCGGAGACGGCGGGUUCGAUUCCUGU